rnacentral:tRNA from 1 species
UUUAGCUCAGUUGGUAGAGUGCUUGCCUUGCAUGCACAAGGCCCUGGGUUCAAUCCCAAGGAAG